rnacentral:rRNA from 1 species
AUGCACGCUGGCGGCGUGCCUAAUCCAUGCAAGUCGAGCGAACAGACGAGGAGCUUGCUCCUCUGACGUUAGCGGCGGACGGGUGAGUAACACGUGGAUAACCUACCUAUAAGACUGGGAUAACUUCGGGAAACCGGAGCUAAUACCGGAUAAUAUAUUGAACCGCAUGGUUCAAUAGUGAAAGACGGUUUUGCUGUCACUUAUAGAUGGAUCCGCGCCGCAUUAGCUAGUUGGUAAGGUAACGGCUUACCAAGGCGACGAUGCGUAGCCGACCUGAGAGGGUGAUCGGCCACACGGGAACUGAGACACGGUCCAGACUCCUACGGGAGGCAGCAGUAGGGAAUCUUCCGCAAUGGGCGAAAGCUUGACGGAGCAACGCCGCGUGAGUGAUGAAGGUCUUCGGAUCGUAAAACUCUGUUAUUAGGGAAGAACAAAUGUGUAAGUAACUAUGCACGUCUUGACGGUACCUAAUCAGAAAGCCACGGCUAACUACGUG